UACGGGAGGCAGCAGUGGGGAAUAUUGGACAAUGGGCGAAAGCCUGAUCCAGCAAUGCCGCGUGAGCGAUGAAGGCCUUAGGGUUGUAAAGCUCUUUUACCCGGGAUGAUAAUGACAGUACCGGGAGAAUAAGCUCCGGCUAACUCCGUGCCAGCAGCCGCGGUAAU
rnacentral:rRNA from 1 species